rnacentral:rRNA from 1 species
CCUACGGGAGGCAGCAGUGGGGGAUAUUGCACAAUGGGGGAAACCCUGAUGCAGCGACGCCGCGUGGGCGAAGAAGUAUUUCGGUAUGUAAAGCCCUAUCAGCCGGGAAGAAGAAAUGACGGUACCUGAGUAAGAAGCACCGGCUAAAUACGUGCCAGUAGCCGCGGUAAUACGUAUGGUGCAAGCGUUAUCCGGAUUUACUGGGUGUAAAGGGAGCGCAGGCGGCACGGCAAGCCUGAUGGGAAAGCCCGCGGCCCAACCUCGGGACGGCCUUGGGAACUAGCGGGCUGGAGUGCCGGAGAGGUAGGCGGAAUGCCUAGUGUAGCGGUGAAAUGCGUAGAUAUUACGAAGAACACCAGUGGCGAAGGCAGCCUACUGGACGGUGACUGACGCUGAGGCUCGAAAGCGUGGGGAGCAAACAGGAUUAGAUACCCGUGUAGUC